AUCCAGAUGACGAGUCCUAGAUAGGACGAAGUGCGCGUUGUCAUGGAU
rnacentral:hammerhead_ribozyme from 1 species